rnacentral:rRNA from 1 species
UACGUAGGGGGCUAGCGUUGUCCGGAUUUAUUGGGCGUAAAGGGCGUGUAGGCGGUUUGCUAAGUCAUGUGUGAAAGCCCUCGGCUUAACCGAGGAACGACGCAUGAAACUGGCAAGCUAGAGUACCAAAGAGGGGGUGGAAUUCCCGGUGUAGCGGUGAAAUGACGUAGAUAUCGGGAGGAAUACCAGUGGACGAAGGCGGCUUCUUGGCCUGUUCUUGACGCUGAGGCGCGAAAGCUGGGGGAGCAAACGGG